rnacentral:tRNA from 3 species
GGGCGGUUAGCUCAGCGGGAGAGCACUGCCUUCACACGGCAGGGGUCACUGGUUCGAUCCCAGUACCGCCCACCA